rnacentral:lncRNA from 1 species
UGGGGCUGGCCGGGCUACUCGGGCCACGCAGCUGGAACCUGGAAAUUAGGAUUGGAAUCCUGAACUCCUAAAUCCAAACUACAGACUGGAAGUUACCAAAAAAUGUCACAGUGGUUCCUUGAUCAGGUAGAAAGAUGACAGAGCCCAACAUACCAGAACCUAGAAAGGAGGCGAAGGAGGCGGUCUAGAGGGAAGAGCACUUUGGUCAAAGGAUCAGGUGCAUAAAUGCGGAGGAAUGAGGAUGCCCGGCUUGCUGGAGGAUCAAGGGAAGAUGGCCUGCAGGAGCCAAGAAGUCUGGAGCAGCCAAAAAAACACAAAAGAAGUGCAACAAAAGAAGCUCCUGCCUUGACUGAUUGACCAGCCUUACGACGUUCCACCAUUAUGAAUUGUUCCUGUCCUGCCCCAACUGAUCAAUCGACCUUGUGACAUUCUUCUUCUGGACAAUGAAUCUUAUGAUCUCCCCACCAUGGACCCUGUGACCCCCUCCUCUGCUGACAAUAGAUAACCACCUCUAACUGUAACAUUCCACUGCCUACCUCAGUCCUAUAAAGCUGCCCCUCUCCUAUCUACCUUCGCUGACUCUCUUUUCGUACUCAGCCCACUUGCACCCAAGUGAAUAAACAGCCCUGUUGCUCACACAA